GGUUAAGCUACUAAGAGCACACGGAGGAUGCCUAGGCGCUAGGAGCCGAUGAAGGACGUGGCGAACAACGAAACUGCCUCGGGGAGCUGUAAGCAAGCUUUGAUCCGGGGGUGUCCGAAUGGGGAAACCCAGCUGGGGUAAUUUCCAGUUACUCACAACUGAAUACAUAGGUUGUGUAGAGGCAUACCAAGGGAACUGAAACAUCUAAGUACCUUGAGGAAGAGAAAACAAUAGUGAUUCCGUCAGUAGCGGCGAGCGAACGCGGAGAAGCCCAAACCAGAGAGCUUGCUCUUUGGGGUUGUGGGACGUCUCACAUGGAGUUACAAAGGAACCGGUUAAGUGAAGAGGUCUGGAAAGGCCCGCCAAAGAAGGUAAAAGCCCUGUAAUUGAAAGUUGGUUCCCUCCGAGACGGAUCCCGAGUAGUGCGGGGCACGUGAAACCCCGUAUGAAUCCGGCAGGACCAUCUGCCAAGG
rnacentral:rRNA from 1 species